rnacentral:rRNA from 1 species
UACGUAGGGUGCAAGCGUUAAUCGGAAUUACUGGGCGUAAAGCGUGCGCAGGCGGUGAUGUAAGACAGAUGUGAAGUCCCCGGGCUCAACCUGGGAACUGCAUUUGUGACUGCAUCGCUGGAGUGCGGCAGAGGGGGAUGGAAUUCCGCGUGUAGCAGUGAAAUGCGUAGAUAUGCGGAGGAACACCGAUGGCGAAGGCAAUCCCCUGGGCCUGCACUGACGCCCAUGCACGAAAGCGUGGGGAGCAAACAGG